rnacentral:lncRNA from 1 species
GAAACUAACAGACUUUGGACUACGCAAAGAAUCUAUUCAUGAUGGAACAGUCACACACACAUUUUGUGGAACAAUAGAAUACAUGGCCCCUGAAAUCUUGAUGAGAAGUGGCCACAAUCGUGCUGUGGAUUGAUGGAGUUUGGGAGCAUUAAUGUAUGACAUGCUGACUGGAGCACCCCCAUUUACUGGGGAGAAUAGAAAGAAAACAAUUGACAACAUCCUCAAAUGUAAACUCAAUUUGCCUCCCUACCUCACACAAGAAGCCAGAGAUCUGCUUAAAAAGCUGCUGAAAAGAAAUGCUGCUUCUCU